GGUAUGCACUGGCUUCGCUGAUUCCUCCUUUCCGAAGAACUGUAAUGUCAUUAAUUUGGUGUUGCAGGGAAACAGGACUGUUACUUUGAAAAAAUUAGAGUGUUUAAAGCAGGCUAACGCUUGAAUACAUUAGCAUGGAAUAAUGAAAUAGGACGUUCAAACCUAUUUUGUUGGUUUCUAGGAUUGACGUAAUGAUUAAUAGGGAUAGUUGGGGGCAUUAGUAUUCAAUUGUCAGAGGUGAAAUUCUUGGAUUUAUUGAAGACUAACUACUGCGAAAGCAUUUGCCAAGGAUGUUUUCAUUAAUCAAGAACGAAAGUUAGGGGAUCGAAGACGAUCAGAUACCGUCGUAGUCUUAACCAUAAACUAUGCCGACUAGGGAUCGGAUGAUGUUAAUUUUUUAAUGACUCAUUCGGCGCCUUACG
rnacentral:rRNA from 1 species